ACCCCCCAAACCCUAAAAUCCCUCCCCUCUCACUUCUGUCUCUAUACCCUUUCACAGAGAAACCCUAGCCGCCCUCUCACCCCUUGCCGGCUCCACCCCUCUCCGCCGCCCGAAAAUCGCCUUACGGCGGCGGAGUACCUCCAAACCGCCUCAGAUUAACACCGGACGAUCAUCUCCUCUUCAUAUCUCCAUAUAUCACAACAGUUGACUUCAAACAAGUGUGGAAAUUCUCGAAUCUUGGAUCUAAAAUCCGAACCCUAGUUUUUUUCCCUUCUGAUUCCGUUCAAUUUCUGGGUCGGUUGAACCCAAAACUUCCAUUAAUCGACUGUUCUUGUUAAGAACAAUCGAUUAAUGGUCGUCCAAGUUCAUUUUACCCUACUGAAGCUUGUCCGAGUUCAUGACUGGUUCAAUUCGAAGCAAGUUUUGAAAUUGGUGGCUCCAGGUGGUGAAUUAGGCCUUGGUUGGAUCAGUGAUAUCCAAAAAGGGCAAAAGCUCACUAGGCUGUCGACUUUCUCAAACAUUGUAAUAGAAUUAGUUGAUGUAUUUUUCUCAAAGAAUUCUAAUGUAAUAGAUUAGUUGUUGUUGUAGUAAUUCAUGUAUUAGGUAUUGCAAUUUAAAUUUUUCUGAUUGUCAUAUUGCCUUUACAUUAUUUGUUAUAGCAAUGCUUCUUUAUUAGUGCAAUUUGUAAUGUCACAAUAGUUAAGGAUAUGGGCCAGUUGUUAAAA